rnacentral:lncRNA from 1 species
CCGAGCUCGGGGACGCGCGGGGACUCAGGCGCGGGGUCAGCGCCGGAAGGGCGGGGUGGGGCUUGGGCGGCAGCCCAGGAUCCAAACCUUGCUUCUUGAACCUUCUUGGCCUUAAAUCCUUUGCCUCCUGGACCUCGCCAGAAGGCCAGGAGAUAGCAUCUGCACGCCCCAGGUCAUAGCCGGUCCUUCGGAGGGGAAGCCAGGUCCUGGCCAAACCCAUCCGCCCCACUCCGGUUCCGAAACGGCCUCACUCACCUGGAGUGGUCCUUUGAGAAAAUGAGGAUUAAACCCCACAGAAACCUGCAACGCCCAUCACCCACUCUGAGGACCCUUCAAGUCCUAGAAAAACCAACUUCUGACCAUAAUACUCCUCUCUCGGGAGGGCAGGCACUCUACUGCAUCUCACCUUGAAAAGAAGGACCAUCAUCAAGAAAUCAAAUGAUGACAAAUGUUGGCAAAGCUGUAGGGAAAAUCAGCCCUUCUCCUUGUUGGUGGGAAUGUAAACUAGUACAACCACUAUGGGAAUCAGUAUAGAGAUUCCUCAAAAAAAAAGAAACUAGAAAUCCAUUUGACCCAGCUAUUCCCCUUAGAUAUCUUCCCAAAAGAGUUAAAGACAUCAUAUUACAGUGAUCCAUGCAUACCCAUGUUUAUAACAGCACAUUCAUAAUAGCUAAAUCUUGGAAGCAGUGUGCAUGUCCUUCAACAAAUUAAUAGAUAUGUGGUAUUUACACACAGUGGAGUACAUCUCUGCCAUAAAGAUAAAGGAGUG